UGGGAUUUUAAGGAAUUUACGAAAUAUGUACUCGACAUGGCAAAUAAAAUAACUGCAUUUUCCGUGAAAUGAAAUUUAGAGGAUACAACAAAGAAAAAGCUGAGAAAAAGCUUGCAA